GAUGAAGUCCUAGGCAACAAGGUGACGGAGGAGGAAAGUUCUAGGGAAGCAGAUAUUGAUUGACUAGAAGCGAGCCUUCUCUCAUAAUCAUGUCUACCCUCUCCGGAAUGAUGUGGGCCUGCCAGUGGCAGAAGAUGCUUCAUGGCUGGAGAGACACUCUGCAUGUCUUUAUGGCCUCGCCCCAUCCCUAUGAAAGCAGUGGAAUACAGAGUGUGCAUAAGAACGACGACACUCCCUUUGGCCUUCUCUCUGUAACUGACUGUGCCUCCUCCACCUGUGGUGCGGUCCUUCAUCUUCUGAGCCUACCUCUGAAGUCAUUAUAAAUCACAGUGCACU